CUGGCGGCGUGCCUAAUACAUGCAAGUCGAACGGUCUUUCUAUGGAAGCUUGCUUCCACUGAAAAGAUAGUGGCGAACGGGUGAGUAACACGUGGGUAACCUGCCCAUAAGAGGGGGAGUAACAUCCGGAAACGGGUGCUAAUACCGCAUAGUUUUCUUGAUCGCAUGAUCGGGAAAGGAAAGACGGCCUUUGUGCUGUCGCUUAUGGAUGGACCCGCGGCGUAUUAGUUAGUUGGUGAGGUAACGGCUCACCAAGACGAUGAUACGUAGCCGACCUGAGAGGGUGAUCGGCCACAUUGGGACUGAGACACGGCCCAAACUCCUACGGGAGGCAGCAGUAGGGAAUCUUCCGCAAUGGACGAAAGUCUGACGGAGCAACGCCGCGUGAGUGAAGAAAAGGUUUUCGGAUCGUAAAACUCUGUUGUCAGAGAAGAACAAGUUGGAGAGUAACUGCUCCAGCCUUGACGGUAUCUGACCAGAAAGCCACGGCUAACUACGUGCCAGCCGCAGC
rnacentral:rRNA from 1 species